rnacentral:rRNA from 1 species
GGUUAAGCGACUAAGCGUACACGGUGGAUGCCCUGGCAGUCAGAGGCGAUGAAGGACGUGCUAAUCUGCGAUAAGCGUCGGUGAGGUGAUAUGAACCGUUAUAACCGGCGAUUUCCGAAUGGGGAAACCCAGUGUGUUUCGACACACUAUCAUUAACUGAAUCCAUAGGUUAAUGAGGCGAACCGGGGGAACUGAAACAUCUAAGUACCCCGAGGAAAAGAAAUCAACCGAGAUUCCCCCAGUAGCGGCGAGCGAACGGGGAGGAGCCCAGAGCCUGAAUCAGUGUGUGUGUUAGUGGAAGCGUCUGGAAAGGCGCGCGAUACAGGGUGACAGCCCCGUACACAAAAAUGCACAUACUGUGAGCUCGAUGAGUAGGGCGGGACACGUGGUAUCCUGUCUGAAUAUGGGGGGACCAUCCUCCAAGGCUAAAUACUCCUGACUGACCGAUAGUGAACCAGUACCGUGAGGGAAAGGCGAAAAGAACCCCGGCGAGGGGAGUGAAAAAGAACCUGAAACCGUGUACGUACAAGCAGUGGGAGCCUCUUAAUGGGGUGACUGCGUACCUUUUGUAUAAUGGGUCAGCGACUUAUAUUCUGUAGCAAGGUUAACCGAAUAGGGGAGCCGAAGGGAAACCGAGUCUUAACUGGGCGUUAAGUUGCAGGGUAUAGACCCGAAACCCGGUGAUCUAGCCAUGGGCAGGUUGAAGGUUGGGUAACACUAACUGGAGGACCGAACCGACUAAUGUUGAAAAAUUAGCGGAUGACUUGUGGCUGGGGGUGAAAGGCCAAUCAAACCGGGAGAUAGCUGGUUCUCCCCGAAAGCUAUUUAGGUAGCGCCUCGUGAAUUCAUCUCCGGGGGUAGAGCACUGUUUCGGCAAGGGGGUCAUCCCGACUUACCAACCCGAUGCAAACUGCGAAUACCGGAGAAUGUUAUCACGGGAGACACACGGCGGGUGCUAACGUCCGUCGUGAAGAGGGAAACAACCCAGACCGCCAGCUAAGGUCCCAAAGUCAUGGUUAAGUGGGAAACGAUGUGGGAAGGCCCAGACAGCCAGGAUGUUGGCUUAGAAGCAGCCAUCAUUUAAAGAAAGCGUAAUAGCUCACUGGUCGAGUCGGCCUGCGCGGAAGAUGUAACGGGGCUAAACCAUGCACCGAAGCUGCGGCAGCGACACUAUGUGUUGUUGGGUAGGGGAGCGUUCUGUAAGCCUGUGAAGGUGGCCUGUGAGGGUUGCUGGAGGUAUCAGAAGUGCGAAUGCUGACAUAAGUAACGAUAAAGCGGGUGAAAAGCCCGCUCGCCGGAAGACCAAGGGUUCCUGUCCAACGUUAAUCGGGGCAGGGUGAGUCGACCCCUAAGGCGAGGCCGAAAGGCGUAGUCGAUGGGAAACAGGUUAAUAUUCCUGUACUUGGUGUUACUGCGAAGGGGGGACGGAGAAGGCUAUGUUGGCCGGGCGACGGUUGUCCCGGUUUAAGCGUGUAGGCUGGUUUUCCAGGCAAAUCCGGAAAAUCAAGGCUGAGGCGUGAUGACGAGGCACUACGGUGCUGAAGCGACAAAUGCCCUGCUUCCAGGAAAAGCCUCUAAGCAUCAGGUAACAUCAAAUCGUACCCCAAACCGACACAGGUGGUCAGGUAGAGAAUACCAAGGCGCUUGAGAGAACUCGGGUGAAGGAACUAGGCAAAAUGGUGCCGUAACUUCGGGAGAAGGCACGCUGAUAUGUAGGUGAAGCGACUUGCUCGUGGAGCUGAAAUCAGUCGAAGAUACCAGCUGGCUGCAACUGUUUAUUAAAAACACAGCA